UUUCGCCUACGGGGGGCAGCAGUGGGGAAUAUUGCACAAUGGGGGAAACCCUGAUGCAGCAACGCCGCGUGAAGGAAGACGGUUUUCGGAUUGUAAACUUCUGUUCUUAGUGAAGAAAAAUGACGGUAGCUAAGGAGCAAGCCACGGCUAACUACGUGCCAGCAGCCGCGAUAAUACGUAGGGGGCGAGCGUUAUCCGGAUUCACUGGGUGUAAAGGGAGCGUAGACGGCCAAGCAAGCCAGGGGUGAAAGCCCGGGGCCCAACCCCGGGACUGCCCUUGGAACUGCAUGGCUGGAGUGCGGGCG
rnacentral:rRNA from 1 species